rnacentral:rRNA from 1 species
UACGUAGGGGCGAGCGUUGUCCAGAGUUACUGGGCGUAAAGAGCGUGUGGGCGGUUGAAAAAGUCAGGUGUGAAAUUCUUCGGCUCAACCGAGGGACUGCGCUUGAAACUUUUCGACUGGAGUUUGGGAGGGGCAACCGGAAUUCCUGGUGUAACGGUGAAAUGUGUAGAUAUCAGGAGGAACACCCGUGGCGAAGGCGGGUUGCUGGACCAAAACUGACGCUGAGACGCGAAAGCGUGGGUAGCAAACAGGAUUAGAUACCCUGGUAGUCCCUGAGCGGGCUGG